rnacentral:lncRNA from 1 species
GUAGCCGCGUCCAGACAAACCUAACCAACCGGAGCCCGCUCCGCGCAUGCGCCCCGGCUCGCGGCCGCGGGUCCGGCCCCGCCCGCGCCAGGGCCGCGCACUCCGGAGUCGCGCGCUGGGACUCUCGCAUGCGCAUGCGCGCGGCGGCGCUUCCUGGGAACGCGGGCUCCGCGGAGCCGGGGUGGGCGGUGACUCAGCGCCCGGGGCGGAGCGGGGUCCCCUAGCUGUGGGGCCGGCGAGCUUCGCCCCCUCUGCCCUCAGCCGCGCUGGUGCCCGAGGCUGUCCCGGCCUCAGGCCGCUCUGUGCGUUGUCCGCUCGCUGGACGCCCGCAGGGGCUCGGAAGUCUAGAUUCGAGAGCGGGAAAGGCCUUGAAGUUGCUCAUUGUUGUUGCGGGUGCGGCCACAGGUUGCUGGAGGCAUUUGGGGCAUGUGAAGAAGGCGAAGGCGAAUCGGUGCUGGCAGUGAGGAUGUGGUUUUCACCUGCGGAAGUGAGAAUUUUAUGAGGUUAUUCCAUCUCCCUUUCCCGCCAGAAGCUCAGAGGAGCUGGAAUCCAGUCUGCCUGUCCUGUCCUCCAGAACAGAAACCAGCCCUGCCUCGCUCACCUUCCCCUACUCCUGGGCGAGAGGACCUUACACACAGUAAGCCAUCAGUGAAUGGACACAUCAGGGGUGCUGUUUGUGGUGUAAAGGAUUUGUAAAGUGAAGAUUUAUCCCUCAACUUUACAUGCUGACUUUGCUUAAAACAAGAUUCAACUGUAAGCUCCGUUCAAAGCCCUUCGGAAUCAAAACACUUCCCUCGGAGAGGCACAGAAGGCUCUCCUUACAGAGAGCAGCUUGAGUUCCUGCUUCUGCAAAUGUCUGUCACUGUCCCCAUCUUUCAAAGUCCAGGGGAAAUGAGUGAGCAGGAGAAGAUUUAACUGAAGAGGUGACACUUGAGCUGGACCUUGAAAUUGGAAUUCUCCUAGCAGAUGGGAGUCUUAGACACUGCGAAAAAAAACAUCGCCCCUCCAUGCACUACCUUUUGCAAAAUGAGGAAAUGGAUCCCGAGAGAGGAAAUGACUGGCCCAGGGCUGCACGGCCAGUUAGUAGAGCCAGCGCUCCCAGCUCUGCUGCUUGGGCAUCUUCCACUCAAGCUCCACACAUCUCAUCCAGCCCAGCCAAAAGCCUCUGGUUCCAGAGCCUCCUCUGCAAAGAAGGAGCUAGGACAGCAGACACAGAUGCAGCCCUCUUCAGAUGGCCUCUGUCCACCUGAGCUGCAAAUGUCCACCCUGCCCCACAGUUGCUCCUGUGGCUUUCUUUGGAGCAGGCUUCUCUCCUGGCUUGCUUUCUGCCUUCUCUGCUGCAGCCCCCUCAGUCCUCACGGCAGCACCAUCUGGAAGUGUAACUCUGCUAAGGAUGGCCGCAACUUUGCCCACCCCCUCCGCCAUGUUCUGCUGAGUGUGGGCCCACACCAACGCAG